rnacentral:rRNA from 1 species
AGAGAUGCACUGGGCGUAAAGCGUGCGCAGGCGGUUUUGUAAGACAGAGGUGAAAUCCCCGGGCUCAACCUGGGAACUGCCUUUGUGUCUGCAAGGCUGGAGUGCGGCAGAGGGGGAUGGAAUUCCGCGUGUAGCAGUGAAAUGCGUAGAUAUGCGGAGGAACACCGAUGGCGAAGGCAAUCCCCUGGGCCUGCACUGACGCUCAUGCACGAAAGCGUGGGGAGCAAACA